CCCACCACCACCCCCUCUUCUUCAUUUUCUCACGCCAUUUUCAUCCCCUUAGGCCAUAGAAAUUCAUCUUCUUCAUACUUCAAGAGAAAUAAGUAAAUUUCCAUCUUUUAGGACCCUCCAAGCUAGGAUUUGAUGAUCAAGGUGGAGAUGGCAUGCUAGGGUGAUCAUUGGAAGGUUUUUGUGAUUUUACCUAGCUACAAGAGGUAUGGAGUAGGACCAAUAUCGCGAGCGCGUUAGUAUGCAUUAGUCCUAUCCUCUCUUUGGGCUAGUUAUGUUUUCCUUUAUUAGACGUUUGAGGCCUGUGAGCCCUUGCUAGACUUCACUAUAUAAUAAUUUAGCAUUAUGGAUGAUUAGUUUCUGUUUUUAUGGAUUUAGACCUUGCCUUAGCAUUUAGGCCUAUAUGGCCCUAGAUGUGGCAUAACACCCCAUUCUAUUGAACUUUGCUUCCGCUAUCUUUUGUUAAAGUAUCAUGAGUUAAAUCCUGUUAUUUC